UGCCAGCAGCCGCGGUAAUACGGAGGGCGCAAGCGUUACUCGGAAUCAUUGGGCGUAAAGCGGGUGUAGGCGGGUUAAUAGGUUUGAAGUGAAAUCCAAUGGCUCAACCAUUGAACUGCUUUGAAAACUGUUAACCUAGAAUAUGGGAGAGGUAGAUGGAUUUCCUGGUGUAGGGGUAAAAUCCGUAGAGAUCAGAAGGAAUACCGAUUGCGAAGGCGAUCUACUGGAACAUUAUUGACGCUGAGACGCGAAAGCGUGGGGAGCAAACAGGAUUAGAUA
rnacentral:rRNA from 1 species